rnacentral:rRNA from 1 species
CUGUUUAACAAAAACACAGCUCUAUGCUAACUCGCAAGAGGAUGUAUAUGGAGUGACACGUGACCAAUGCCAAAAGGUCAAUGGGAGAGGUUAGCGCAAGCGAAGCUUCGAUCUGAAGCCCUGGUGAAUGUCGGCCGUAACUAUAACGGUCCUAAGGUAGCGAAAUUCCUUGUCGGGUAAGUUCCGACCUGCACGAAUCGUGUAACGAUGCCAGCACUGUCUCAACGUGGAUCUCGGCGAAGUUGUAAUUCCGGUGAAAAUGCCGGAUACCUGCGGAAGGACGGAAAGACCCCAUGAACCUUUACUGUAAUCUGAUAUUGGUAUUUGAUUGCUCUUGUGUAGCAUAGGUGGGAGGCAGUGAAACCGCUACGCCAGUACCGGUGGAGCCACAGGUGAAAUACCACCCUGGUGUAAUUAGAUAUCUAACGGUGUCCCGUGAAUCCGGGCCCCGGACCGUGUCAGAGGGUCAGUUUGACUGGGGCGGUUUCCUCCUAAAUUGUAACGGAGGAGCCCGAAGGUACACUCAGCACGGUUGGCAAUCGUGUGCAGAGCGUAAGGGUAGAAGUGUGCUUUACUGUAAGACCGACAGGUCGAGCAGUUGCGAAAGCAGGGCCUAGUGAUCCAGCGAUGGAAUGUGGAAUCGUCGUUGCUCAACGGAUAAAAGGUACUCUGGGGAUAACAGGCUGAUAGCGCCCAAGCGUCCAUAGCGACGGCGCUGUUUGGCACCUCGAUGUCGACUCAUCACAUCCUGGGGCUGUAGAAGGUCCCAAGGGUUCGGCUGUUCGCCGAUUAAAGUGGUACGCGAGUUGGGUUCAGAACGUCGUGAGACAGUUCGGUCCUUAUCCUCCGCAGGCGCAGGAUAUUUGAUGGGAUCAUUCCUUAGUACGAGAGGACCGGGAAUGACUGACCUCUGGUGUUCCGGUUGUGGCGUCAGCUGCAUUGCCGGGUAGCUAUGUCGGGAACGGAUAAGCGCUGAAAGCAUCUAAGCGCCAAGCCCACCCAAAGACGAGAUAUCCCUUCCCGCAAGGGACUGAAGGCCGGUCGAAGACUACGACCUUGAUAGGACGGAGAUGUAAGCGCAGUAAUGCGUUCAGUUUACCGUUACUAAUCGGCCGUGAGGCUUAACCAC